rnacentral:lncRNA from 1 species
CUUUCCCCUUAUGUCCUGCUCCUCCUCCCCAUUUCUCAAGCCCUGACCCCUAUCCUCCUAUCUCAAAGUAGGUUAUAGAAACUAGAAUCCGAAGGGCUCUCACUCUCCAGCUCCAGAACUAGCAGGUCCCAGUUCAGUGCUGCAGUGGUUACUUGGACUGUUUCCGCACUGCCCGUGGCUGUCCAUUAAAUGAGCCGGUGAGACUCCGGCGGCAUGUGGCAAAAACCACUGCCGCGGCCGCUGCAGAUUCGCUGCGCUCUGGGUUGCCAGAAGGACCUAAGGCAGAGCUCACCAGCACCCGCAGAUCUGAGACCUUGAAGCAGAGUCAGCGGCCGAGAGAAGGCGAAGAGGAGGAGGAGACGCCCGGUGCCCCUCCUUUUUUCCGACACGUCAUGGGGUCCGCUGAGCUCCCCCGCCGCCUCCCGCCCACCCCAGGCGAAGACACAGAAGCAGCUCCCUCGCAGUCCGCACCGAGGACGGAGGGAGGGCGGGAGAGAGCCGGCGCCGUGGCGGCCGCUGUCGCAGCGGAGAAGCCUGCCGGAGAAGCGGAGCCCCGCCUGCCGCCUACCUCUGCAGCCUCAGGAACCCGGGGCUCGGGGUUGCCACUACCUGCUUUCGUACCCGUGGCAGGGUUUUGUCUUCAUUUAUCAGUCGACCUUCAGGGACCCAAGAGAAGCUUUGUCAAAGGGGAUGCCUUGUUUACUUGUUGGCAGAAUGACAGUAUCUUCAGCAUGGUUUUGGCUGCCUUGGAGAUGGUUUUACCCAAUAAGGAUGAGAAAACAAGUCAUUGUGAGUUUGCAAUAUCUGGGAAAUGAUCACAGCUAAAGAUUUGGUCUUAGAGAAAAACUGUUUAUGGCUUCUGCAGAGCACAGUCUCAGUUGAUUUUCAUCUGAUUUUAACAGCACAAGUUGGCAGAAGCCUUUUAAAGAAAUUAAUUGACUUUGAAAUAUUGAACAGAUAAGCCAUAGAAUUAUAGUUCUGAAAGGAACUACCAAAGAUUUUUUCAGUUGUGGCAUCAUAAGUUUUGAGGUAGAAGGGAGCUUAGAGCCCAUCUAGUGCAGUGCC